CAGUAGCCGCGGGAAUACGUAGGGUGCGAGCGUUAAUCGGAAUUACUGGGUGUAAAGCGUGCGCAGGCGGUCGUGUAAGACAGGUGUGAAAUCCCCGGGCUUAACCUGGGAACUGCGCUUGUGACUGCACAGCUAGAGUAUGGCAGAGGGGGGUGGAAUUCCACGUGUAGCAGUGAAAUGCGUAGAGAUGUGGAGGAACACCGAUGGCGAAGGCAGCCCCCUGGGCCAAUACUGACGCUCAUGCACGAAAGCGUGGGGAGCAAACAGGAUUAGAUACCCCAGUAGUCCCUGUCUCUUAUAA
rnacentral:rRNA from 1 species